GCAAGUCGUGCGCGAAAGCCUUCGGGCGAGUAAAGCGGCGAACGGGUGAGUAACACGUAAUCAACCUACCCCUCAGAUCGGGAUAACUGCUGGAAACGGCAGGUAAUACCGAAUGGUCCCAAAUGGCGGCAUCGUCAUAUGGGUAAAUGGCGGCUUCGGCUGUUGUUGAGGGAGGGGAUUGCGGACUAUUAGCUUGUUGGUAGGGUAAUGGCCUACCAAGGCGACGAUGGUUAGCUGGUCUGAGAGGAUGAUC
rnacentral:rRNA from 1 species